GUGCUUGCUUCGGCAGCACAUAUACUGAAAUUGGAACAAUACAGAGAAGAUUAGCCUGGCCCCUGCGCAAGGAUGACAUGCAAAUUAGAGGCAAUUUGCUAUUAUUA